rnacentral:lncRNA from 1 species
UGUCACUGCCGGCAAUCCAAUCUUCUCAGGCGGGCACAUCGACGGAGGGGUGUCGUCGGAGGUGGAUUCAAGAGGGGGGCACUCAAGCAUCCCGAUUGCUGCACACAUCUCAGAUGCGACAAUACGCCCCAGAUACGAUUUAUGAGUUUGGUGUUUCGGAUCUAAAUUAGUGGUAUGUCGAUCCUCCUGAUUAAGCUAUUUCCCUGUCCUCCCAAAUAUGUUAUCAUUAGUGCAGUGUGCACGGCGGAUUAGUCUCACAUCCGGUUACGUUGAGGGGCGCGAACAUCUGUGCCUACGGCCCUGCUCGUAAUAGAAACAUACAUGCUCCUGAUUCUGAAAUCCGUAUUGUGGUGCCUGGAUGAAAGAAAAGGUAAUCAUUCGACGACACAACAAGAGAUAAUGAUUUGAGUUUCGUGUUAAUCAGGCUGAAUUUUAGAUGCGUCAUGGAUAAUUCAGGGAACAUUCUGCUGCAUGACGAUACAGGAGCCAGCAUGCUCCCAGAGAAAAAGGGGAGGCACAGAUGGACCAGAGUCACGGGCCGCCUCCUGGAGUGUCCGAUAGUGUCUGUCCUUAUCUCCCUGUACAGUAGCCUAAGGUAGGCAGUAGGCGGAUCACGGCCUGGUACAACUGAUAACAUGAGCGACAUAACCGCGAACUGAGAAUCUUACGGGAACGGCUGGCGAAUAUCCCGAUGUAUAUGACCGUACAAGAUAAGCGGGCCGGGGUGCAGAUGUUCU